AGCAGCCGCGGUAAUUCCAGCUCCAAUAGCGUAUACUAAAGUUGUUGCAGUUAAAAAGCUCGUAGUUGAAUUUCGAGACCGGUUUAUUGGUCGUGCUUUUGUACGUACUGGUAUUAUUGGUUUCUCCUUUCUGACGAAUCUUAAUGCCAUUAAUUUGGUGUUUUGGGGAAUCAGGACUGUUACUUUGAAAAAAUUAGAGUGUUUAAAGCAGGCUCACGCUUGAAUACAUUAGCAUGGAAUAACGGAAUAGGACGUUUGAUUCUAUUUUGUUGGUUUCUAGGAUCGACGUAAUGAUUAAUAGGGAUAGUUGGGGGCAUUAGUAUUCAAUUGUCAGAGGUGAAAUUCUUGGAUUUAUUGAAGACUAACUACUGCGAAAGUAUUUGCCAAGGAUGUUUUCAUUAAUCAAGAACGAAAGUUAGGGGAUCGAAGACGAUCAGAUACCGUCGUAGU
rnacentral:rRNA from 1 species